rnacentral:rRNA from 1 species
UCCAGCAGCUAUACUACCCUGCAACUCACAACUGGUAACCCACUGAAACUCAGCAUGUGGGAGCCUGGUUAGUACCUGGAUGGGAGACCGACUGGGAAAAACUAUGGUUGCUGCUGGAA